AGACAUGGCCGACGCGGCUUAAACUGUAGUAUCUGUUCUUAUGAGCUUAAUAUCUGAUACGUGUUGUAUUUGGACCUAAGAUAUUAAACUUAUUUUUGCAAGUUGGCGGAGUACUUGACGCCUGCUUCAUCUCCACCGCCGGUCGACCCGGUAUUUUGGUCUACGCGGACAUCGAUCCGCUGGAA